ACUCUCUCACUCAGUCAAGCUCAGCUCUUUGACUGUGCACGCCCACUUCCAUUGGGGAUUCGGGCUGAAUCCCACCCCGCCAGUUUAGGCGGCCGAGCUACGUAGAAUUGCGAUGAAGAGCAGCGGACCGUUCAUCGGUUGUUCGUUUCUUACGACCAGAGAGAAAAGAUACAUCUAGACCGCACAAAUACCCCUUCUCAAACAUAUAGAGCCGAUGCAGCAGUGUAGGAUCGUCACUCAGAGAGGGGAACGGUCUAUCGGGGCACCAGUCGCGUCAGAUUGAUGGAAAUGUUUAUGUCCGGAGAGUCAAAGUGGGAAGAGCAUGAAUAAGUUGGAUGAAUCCUUUGUCGACGGCGACUCGGGCUAUCAACAACUCUAAUGGGCUUCGUCCAGAGAGCGUAUUGCAAAGUGAUUCAGUGGGUCAGCUAAUCAUUAACCGCUGUGGAAGGAAAUGACUAAUUGAUAAACCCUAGAAUUGCCACUUCGCCUUUGAAAGCCUGCCUAUUUCUUCCUGAAUUCUAAUUCAAGAUUGCUCCGUCCAGUUGCCUGGAGAUACUGUGCUACUCCAGAAGAUAAUAGACCUCUAUGAGCAGUUCUCAUCCUUUUAUCAACUUUGUUUUUGAUGUAUGAACGAAGGAGACAGGUGUGUGUUAUAUAAACUGGCAUCUACAUUAAGAUGAACAAUGUUCUAAAGACUGCAGAAACUCUAGAAAACCUGUAAACAAGCUCUACAUGUAGUAUUGGUAACACUCUUGGAUGCCAACAGCUUUCCUGAAGGCAACUUUGAUAUUCCAAGUGCCAAGGAGCUGGGAGAACUCAGUCACUUCAACAGAACUAACAAGGUUUAUUUAUUAAAACAAAGCUGACCAAUAAAGUCUGCAAGUUUAAUACCAGAACUGUAGCGAUUUGUCACCCACUUGUUGAAUCAUACUCUGGUUUUGACACAUAUUUUAACUUUCAAAGUUUUCAAAUAACACUACUAGUUAAUUCCACCAAGAUUCCUCAACCUACAUCGUGAACCUGCAUAAUCCAAGCAACGUCUUGAAGUUUUACAGAAAUCUGACGAAAGGUGACCCAUGGAUAGCAUAUUUCAAAGUAUUUCUUAAAUCAUAUUGUGCUUGGAUUGUGUGUAAAAACUGCAAAAGACAUUUCGACAAGACUGAUAACAUCAGAUCUUCCACCUACUUGACUAACAAGAUUUAAACGUCCACCAGGAUAUCUCAACUUAGGCAUACUCUUGCAUCAUCCUGUCAAAAGACAGUGUGAACGGACUCGGUAGAACUCUAUAGAGUCUGGUGUUCCUCAUCAGUGGCCACCCUUCGGAUGCAAGAUGGAUGUAGAGAGCGUUGAAGUGGAUCACUUUGAAGAGGGCACAUCAAAGCUCGGCUUUCCAACUUGUCAAAUAAAGUUCAGCCUAAGGUUUAUGAUGCAACUUUUAUAGCAUAAUAAUGUGUGUUUAAAGAAAUAAAUAGAUUAUAUUUGGAAUAUACAAGUCCGUCCUUGGGGUAUUUUCUUCAGAUGUUCAUGGAGCAUUUGGUAUUAUAGGUUGUCAUUCCAUGCAACCUUGGAUAUAUGGAUUUGUUAGAUUUCUUAAUUUUGUAAAUGGGACAAAAUGGAUAUGAAUUGCCUCAACGUGAAGAAAUUGAAGACCUAUCCGGAAACGAAAAGCGAACCAGGAGGUAUGUGAGGAUUAUUUUGAUCAGGCUACAUUGGCUGAAAGGGAGACUAAAUUCCUGUUUUACACAAAAAUACAUGUACUAGCUAUUUGAAAUUGGGUGUUCAAGUUUGAGCAAGGUAUUACUAGUAUGUGAUUGAUUAUUGUACCGCACAGUUGGGAUAGAAAUAAUAUAUUUUAAGUAGAUGACUUCGUAAAAUCCUGAUAAAAAUAUAUAUAUUUGAAAUCAUGGUGCCUUCUCACUCUUUACAAUUACAUUUAUUUUGCAAAAAUGUUGACAAUUUAUUAUAAUUUUUGACAACUUUUAUGUUGGGUAGAAUUACAAGUUACAAUUUUCUUUUUUGUGAUCCCCCCGCGUAAAAAAAGACAGGAAGAAAAUAAGCAAAUAGAGUAACAAAUAAAAAUUUCAAUAAAAAUGAAGAUUAUUUACAGAUGUAUAUUAUUCAUAAAAAUCACAGAUGAUUUUUUACAUUGAAUUCAGAUUUCAAAUGUACUUCGAAGCUUAAAUCUCAGCAAUGAAAUGAUAUACUUGGCGCAUCUUUGUUUCCAGAAAGAAACAUGCUUUAAUACAAUUUGGUACAAAUAUACAAGGUAUUUUAUUGCUUAUCAGUAUAGUAUCACUUUUAUCGUCUCCAGAUUUCAAAAAGAUGCACUCCCUUUGGCAUGAUACUUUGAGCGUAUAAUAUUUACUGGAUUUUGAUAAAUCAAAGAUAUGUUGCAUGGUUCAUUCUUGUUUACUGUUAUAAUACAAUAAGAAUAUUGUUAUAAUUGAUAUACAGUGUACUGUAGCUCAAUGUUGGGAGUUUUUUUUAAUAUAAUAGUAUAGUAUCACUUUAUCAUCUUCAGAUUUCAAAAAGAUGCACUCCCUUUGGUAUGAUACUUUGAGCGUAUAUUUACGGGAUUUUAAUAAUCAAAGAUAUGUUGCAUGGUUCAUUGUUGUUUACUAUUUCAAUAUUAUUAUAAUAAUACAGUUUACUGUAGCUGAAUGUUAGACUUUUUAAAACUACCCAGGAGAGCCAGAUGGUUUAACUUUAUUCACAUUGAUACUCCUGGAUAGCUAUCUCAAUCAAUGAAUUAAAAAAUAUUUACAAAUCAUUCAUUCCUGCAAUUUUACAGGAAACAUCCUUCCUAUUUAUCACUUGGCGACUAUAACUUUUGAUGUUUAUAAAGGCUACCGCACACCUAACGAUUUCUCUGCGACCCGAUUUUGUUGGAAUAAAACAUAGAUGAAUUUGAUGCUAUUG